rnacentral:lncRNA from 1 species
CUGGAAUGUAUUCCUGAAACGGUCAAUAUGUUCUCUCUGCAGUUUUUUCUGGUCUUGUUUUCCUUUAGUAAUUUUGGCUGGAAUUGUAGGAUUUCAUAGUACUCCUCAUCUGAUAUAUUUUACAGAGAUUUAAUAAUAGAGGAAUCCAAGUUGGGGAAGAUGAGCUGAAGAGAUGUCAAGACAGUUCUUAGCCUGUAUUAAAGGAUCAGCAAAGACAUAUCCUCUCCUGCUUGACUAAUACAGUAAGGAAGAACUUCCAAAGAAAGGAGUUUAGCAAUGGACUGGAUUUCCCACACAGAAGUACCUACCCUAUUAUGGAAAUUUUCAAGCAGUAAAUAGAAAUCAUUUAUUAAUAAAU